rnacentral:rRNA from 1 species
GACGAACGCUGGCGGCGUGCCUAAUACAUGCAAGUUGAGCGAUGAAGAUUGGUGCUUGCACCAAUUUGAAGAGCAGCGAACGGGUGAGUAACGCGUGGGGAAUCUGCCUUUGAGCGGGGGACAACAUUUGGAAACGAAUGCUAAUACCGCAUAACAACUUUAAACAUAAGUUUUAAGUUUGAAAGAUGCAAUUGCAUCACUCAAAGAUGAUCCCGCGUUGUAUUAGCUAGUUGGUGAGGUAAAGGCUCACCAAGGCGACGAUACAUAGCCGACCUGAGAGGGUGAUCGGCCACAUUGGGACUGAGACACGGCCCAAACUCCUACGGGAGGCAGCAGUAGGGAAUCUUCGGCAAUGGACGAAAGUCUGACCGAGCAACGCCGCGUGAGUGAAGAAGGUUUUCGGAUCGUAAAACUCUGUUGGUAGAGAAGAACGUUGGUGAGAGUGGAAAGCUCAUCAAGUGACGGUAACUACCCAGAAAGGGACGGCUAACUACGU